rnacentral:rRNA from 1 species
GGUGAAGAAGUAUUUCGGUAUGUAAAGCUCUAUCAGCAGGGAARAAAAUGACGGUACCUGACUAAGAAGCCCCGGCUAACUACGUGCCAGCAGCCGCGGUAAUACGUAGGGGGCAAGCGUUAUCCGGAUUUACUGGGUGUAAAGGGAGCGUAKACGGUGUAUCAAGUCUGAAGUGAAACCCCACGGCUCAACCGKGGGYUUGCUUUGGAAACUGGUAGACUAGAGUACUGGAGAGGUAASCGGAAUUCCUGGUGUAGUASUGAAAUGCGUAGAUAUCAGGAAGAACAUCAGUGGCGAAGGCGGCUUACUGGACAGCAACUGACGUUGAGGCUCGAAGGCGUGGRGAGCAAACAGGAUUAGAUACCCUGGYAGUCCACGCAGUAAACGAUGAAUACUAGGUGUUGG